rfam:Campylobacter gracilis RM3268 contig00037, whole genome shotgun sequence.
GUGGUAGGAGAGCGUUCCAAUCAGCGUCGAAGCCGUACCGGUAAGGAGCGGUGGAGCGGUUGGAAGUGAGCAUGCAGGCAUGAGUAGCGAUAAAAUACGUGAGAAUCGUAUUCGCCGUAAACCCAAGGUUUCCUACGCGAUGCUCGUCAUCGUAGGGUUAGUCGGGUCCUAAGCAAAGUCCGAAAGGGGUAUGCGAUGGAAAAUCGGUUAAUAUUCCGAUACCGAUAUCAGUGUGCGACGGAAGGACGCUUAAAGUUAGUGGAGCUAGCGGAUGGAAGUGCUAGUCUAAGGAAGUAGGUUGAGUUAUAGGCAAAUCCGUAACUCUUUAUCCGAGAUCUGAAAGGCUUCUGACGCUCUUCGGAGUAGAUGAAGAAUCCAUGAUACUAUCGAGCCGAGAAAAGUUUCUAAGUUUAGCUGAUAUCGCCCGUACCGUAAACCGACACAGGUGGGUGGGAUGAGUAUUCUAAGGCGCGUGGAAGAACUCUCUUUAAGGAACUCUGCAAAAUAGCACCGUAUCUUCGGUAUAAGGUGUGCCUAGCUUCGUUAAGAAUUUACUUCGUAAGCGAAGAAGGUUACAACAAAGAGUCCCUCCCGACUGUUUACCAUAAACACAGCACUCUGCUAACUCGUAAGAGGAUGUAUAGGGUGUGACGCCUGCCCGGUGCUCGAAGGUUAAUUGAUGAUGUUAGCUUACGCAAAGCAUCUGAUCGAAGCCCGAGUAAACGGCGGCCGUAACUAUAACGGUCCUAAGGUAGCGAAAUUCCUUGUCGGUUAAAUACCGACCUGCAUGAAUGGCGUAACGAGAUGGGAGCUGUCUCAAAGAGGGAUCCAGUGAAAUUGUAGUGGAGGUGAAAAUUCCUCCUACCCGCGGCAAGACGGAAAGACCCCGUGGACCUUUACUAUAGCUUGACACUGCUACUUGGAUAAAGAUGCGCAGGAUAGGUGGGAGGCUUUGAGUCGUAGAUCUCGGUUUACGAUGAGCCAUUGUUGAGAUACCACUCUUCUUUAUUCGGGUAGCUAACUAGCCUAAGUUAUCCUUAGGUAGGACAAUGUCUGGUGGGUAGUUUGACUGGGGCGGUCGCCUCCCAAAAUGUAACGGAGGCUUACAAAGGUUGGCUCAAAGCGGUUGGAAAUCGCUUGCAGAGUAUAAAGGCAAAAGCCAGCUUAACUGCGAGACAUACACGUCGAGCAGAGACGAAAGUCGGUCUUAGUGAUCCGGUGGUUCUGUGUGGAAGGGCCAUCGCUCAAAGGAUAAAAGGUACCCCGGGGAUAACAGGCUGAUCUCCCCCAAGAGCUCACAUCGACGGGGAGGUUUGGCACCUCGAUGUCGGCUCAUCGCAUCCUGGGGCUGGAGCAGGUCCCAAGGGUAUGGCUGUUCGCCAUUUAAAGCGGUACGCGAGCUGGGUUCAGAACGUCGUGAGACAGUUCGGUCCCUAUCUGCCGUGGGCGUAAGAAGAUUGAGGAGAGUUGACCCUAGUACGAGAGGACCGGGUUGAACCGACCACUGGUGUACCGGUUGUUCUGCCAAGAGCACCGCCGGGUAGCUAAGUCGGGAUGCGAUAAGAGCUGAAAGCAUCUAAGCUCGAAGCCGACUCCAAGAUGAAUCUUCUUUUAAGAGCUCUAGUAGACUACUAGUUUGAUAGGCCGGAUGUGUAAUGGAUGAAAGUCCUUUAGCUGACCGGUACUAAUAGCUCGUUUGCUUAUCUUU